rnacentral:rRNA from 1 species
CCGAGAUGAGUUCUCCCUGACUCUUUAAGGGUCCUGAAGGAACGUUGAAGACGACGACGUUGAUAGGCCGGGUGUGUAAGCGCAGCGAUGCGUUGAGCUAACCGGUACUAAUGAACCGUGAGGCUUAACCUU